AAAGCAUCGCGCCCACUCAAAACUAUCUUGAAAAAGACAUCCACUUCCUUUGCUAGAAAAUCCAGCCCUUGAGAGAGAGUAUCAGUACCUGUUCUCAAAUCUGAAACAGAAUGUUCAAAUGCUUCUACUUCAACAGGCCCUAAUCCAUCUUGAAUCAUGGGAUACAUCUUCUUCACAAUUGAAUCAACUGCCUCCAAUUCCUUCAGGACUGUAAAUUUUCCAC
rnacentral:misc_RNA from 1 species